AUUGGGUCCAUGUGUAAUAAUACGACCAAUUGGGUCUACGACCAAUUGGGUCUUUAUAAAGUUUACGACCAAUUGGGUCGUUUUGAAAGAGUUUCAUUUUAUAUAACAAUAUCGUUUUAAUCGUUGUAAACAAAAUUGUCUUCGUUUUAGAUACAGAAUGAUUGCUGUCAAGUACGAGGACGUACACUAAUAGGAUGACCG
rnacentral:misc_RNA from 1 species